ensembl:lncRNA
CUCCCUGCUCUAGGUUAAUGUGUUCCCUGUAGACUGGUGAUGGUAACCUUGAAGGAAACUGCCAGAAAGCAGUUUUAAAACCAAACAAACCCAGCUCAUUUUAAAACUGACUUACAGGUGGCUUGCUUGUGGAAGUACAGCAGUUGGCUGGAAAACUGUGGAGGAAAAGGAUCUGGGAAGUGUUAGUUGACAGCCUUCUGAACAUGAGCCAGCAGUGUGCCUAGGUGGUCAAAUGCAUCCUGGCUUGUAUCAGGAAUAGUGCAGCCAGCAGGAGCAGAGAGGUGAUCAUCCCUCUGUAUCCAGCUUUGGUAAUGCUGCACCUCGAGUGCUAUGUUCAGUUUUGGGUCCCUCACUGGAAGAAAGACAUUGAGGCCCUGCAGUGUGUCCAGAGAAAGGCAACGAAGCUGUGAGGGAUCUGGAGCACAGGCCUUAUGGGGAGCAGCUGACGGAACUGGGAUUGUUCAGUCUGGAGAAGAAGAGACUCAGGGGAGACCUUAUUGCUGUCUACAGACUGAAGUCUCACCAUCCCCAGAGGUGUUCAAGAAGAGUGAGGAUGUGGCACUGAGGAACGUGGUUAGUGGGCAUGGUGGUGGUGGUGGUUUGAUGGUUGGACUAGAUGAUUUCAGAGGUCUUUUCCAACCUCAGUGAUUCUAUGAUUCUAUUGCACGGACAUAAUCACGUAGCAUUUAAAUACAGUUUCUUGCCCCAGAAGAAGAGAGCAGGCUGGGUCUUAACAUUUUUAAUAGUCAUGGAUUUGAUAGGUUUAUUUCAUUAAUCAGAUGGUUCAGAACACGUAAACAGCGCAUUUAGAAAAAGUUACACUUUUCUACACUUUUCUGCACAAAUCUGAAUGUGAACUUUGGUUAUGAAAAACAAACAAAACCUCUUUGCUCCUAGCUUCAAAAACACACACAGCUUCUGGUGCUGCGAGUGUGUUGCAGAAGUCAGUGGGUCUCAUGUGUGUGGGUUAGUCUAGUGGGAAUAAUAGGUUUGACUUAGUGAUCCCACUCUUGCUUAGGGAAAACAGGAGGUCAGUGGAUGGUCAAAAUCCAGUUUCUUUGCGAACACUGAACUCGGUCUAAACACCUAUGAUAUCUUGCAACAGAAGAGCGAUAUUAGGUUGGCAAACACAAACAUCUUUAUUGACUAUAUUAGGGAAUACACAGAAUGCCCGGGAGAAAGAAAGACAGUGCUGAACUUCCACAGCUCGUCAGGCACAGUUCAGUUCUCAUCACCAUCUCACACCACUAUUUCCACUCCUCCCCCGUUUGAUCUAGUUCAAAUAUCCAGCCGGUGUUUGUGCACUGAGAAGUUACUGAGAACCCUUAAAAAGCCUAACUAGUCACAACUUGAGAAGGAUAUUCCCAGCUAUCUGAGAAAAACAUAAUGCAAAGAACAACAGAUUAUUUGGAUUAAAAAGAAAAAAAAAAGAAAAAGAGCAGAAGAUUUGAAAACAAGGAGCAUUAUAAGCAUCAGUUCCUCAUUGUCCUGAGGAAAGGGGCCCUGUGGUUGUAGGCAGGAAAUAGCUGCAGUCUUCUUAGGGCUUUGCUUUCCAAGAUAACACUUGGCAGUGUUGAAGAAGAAUUCCUUUCUCAUUAAAUACCAGAUCUGAACUUCAUCCCUUACCUGACUGCAUGCUUUUGCAUGUUCACGUUUCAAAUGCUCAAACCUACUUGACAACAGCAAACCACGAUAGGCUUCUCACAUUCAGAUUUACUGCAGAGCUUCCUUCCCUUCCUGAGUGCUGGGUGAACUGGAGCAAGAAGGGCGGCUUGCCCUCUUUCAGAGCAAGUAGAGGAACUGUGCUAUCUUGUCAGGAAGUUCCUCCUGCGCAUAUACAAUAGAAAAGUUACACUCCGAAGCAUAGAACAGGUGUAGGCUUCAGCCCAACUUCACGACUGGAAAGGAUCAAGAAUGACUGCUAUCUAAAACACUUUACCAUCAGUCACUUUACCACCUCACUGCUGACCAGAGUGGGCAAAAAGUACAGACAAAAUGGAGCUGUUCUGUUGACUGGAAACACUGCUUGCAGCUGUCUGGAGGGAAAGCACACAAGAAGAACAGCCUAUGAUAGGUUUUGCCUCCAUUGACCAGAAGUGCGACAGCCGAAGCUGCAGGGGAUGCUGGUGGCAAGGACACAGCGACAUAAGGAUUGUGAGUCCAGUUCCCAGCACCAUUCACCUUUUCACUAAUUCCUGCUACCUUCUUAAUGAUUCUGAGCUCUCUCACAAAGUAAGAGCUAUUUUACAGGCCACUGCACUCACACAAUUAAAGCUCCUUUUCACCACGUGCUGCUCUACAUUUUAGAGUCAUGACCUUAGUACUCAUCAUCCCAAGUAACUGAGCACCCUUCACAUUUGGCACUUUCCUACUCACUCCUUUCCCAGAUCCUGCUGUGCACACCUCUGGAUGACACUGCUACAAUGUUUGUCCACUGUGAACACUGGGGAGAAAAUACAAAAUGGAACCAAGACUAAAUGGUAAAUUAUUAAUCCAGAGAGAUUCACUCAUUUUCAGAGCAGAUAUAGAAUCAUAGAACUACUCAGGUUGGAAAAGACCUUGAAGAUCAUCAAGUCGAACCACAACCUAACCCUACUACCCUAACUCUAACAACCCUCUGCUAAAUCAUGUCCCUGAGCACCACAUCCAGACGGUUUUUAAACACAUCCAGGGAUGGUGACUCAACCACCUCCCUGGGGAGCCUAUUCCAGUGCUUAACAACCCUUUCUGUAAAGAAGUGUUUCCUGAUAUCCAACCUAAACUUACCCUGGCGCAACUUGAGGCCAUUUCCCCUCAUCCUGUCACCUGUCAGCAGUGAGAAGAGACCAACCCCGCUCUGCUGUAAGCACCUUUCAUGUAUUGGAAGAGAGCAAUAAGGUCUUCCCUCAACCUUCUCCUCCCCAGACUAAACAGCCCCAGUUCCUUCAGUCGCUCCUUGUAGGGCAUAUUCCCCAAGCUCUUCACCAGCCUUGUUGCCCUUCUUUGGACCUGCUCCAGCUGCAGUCCUCUCUAUCACACCCAUAUUGAUGUACAUCCACAUUUUACUGCUGCUUAUAAUAACAUUUACUGUCCACUGUAGUUUGUGGCCCUUUCUUAAAUAACAGGUUAUCUGAGCAAGUGUUGGAUACUCCUAUCUGGGAAUCAUUAACCACAUUUAAGGAUGGGAACUCCAGUUCUGUGUUGUGAGAACGCAGCUGAACUGCUGGCCUUAACCUGCGGGAACAACCCACCCUCCUAACUUCUCAGCUGAAAUACAGAACAUAUGCAUGCAUGUGCCAAGCUGCUACCAUUACCAGUCAGAUCAGAGCUUGUGUUCAAAUGCAGCCAGAACAACUGGCUGUGCAACUCUCCUGAAAAGGCAUGCAGAAGAAAGGGAAAGGCAUAAUUGGGUGAGGGAUGGAAAACAGGACCAGGUGAAGGUCUGGUAGCGGUUUUCUGCCUAGUCAUCUUGUUUACCCCUUUGAUAUAUAGCCUGCAGCAAUUAUGUUGCUGGGAGAACC